GAGGUUCUGUUUGGUUGUAAGGUUCUGUCCAGCUCGGAGGUUCUGUUCGGUUCUAAGGUUAUGUUCGGUUCUAAGGUUCUGUCCGGUUCUGUCUGUUCUAAGGUUCAGUUCGGUUCUAAGGUUCUGUCCAGUUCUGUCUUUUCUAAGGUUCUGUUCGGUUCUAAGGUUCUGUUCAGUUCUAAGGUUCUGUCCGGUUCUGAGGUUCUGUCCGGUUCUGUCUGUUCUAAGGUUCAGUUCGGUUCUAAGGUUCUGUCCGGUUCUGAGGUUCUGUCCGGUUCUGUCUGUUCUAAGGUUCUGUUCUGUUCUAAGGUCCUAUCCGGUUCUGUCUGGUUCUAAGGUUCUGUUCGGUUCUAAGGUCCUAUCCGGUUCUGUCUGGUUCUAAGGUUCUGUACGGUUCUGAGGUCCUAUCCGGUUCUGUCUGGUUCUGUCUGGUUCUAAGGUUCUGUACGGUUCUGAGGUCCUGUCCGGUUCUGUCUGGUUCUGUCUGGUUCUAAGGUUUUGUCCGGUUCUGAGGUCCUGUCCGGUUCUGUCUGGUUCUGUCUGGU